rnacentral:rRNA from 1 species
GUCGACGAGAAAGUACCUUCGGGUGCGAGUACAGUGGCGGACGGGUGAGUAACGCGUAGGAAUAUACCUGGUAGUGGGGGACAACUCGGGGAAACUCGAGCUAAUACCGCAUACGCUCUACGGAGGAAAGUGGGGGAUCUUCGGACCUCACGCUAUCAGAGUAGCCUGCGUUGGAUUAGCUAGUUGGUGGGGUAAAGGCUCACCAAGGCGACGAUCCAUAGCUGGUCUGAGAGGACGAUCAGCCACACUGGAACUGAGACACGGUCCAGACUCCUACGGGAGGCAGCAGUAGGGAAUAUUGGGCAAUGGGCGAAAGCCUGACCCAGCGAUGCCGCGUGUGUGAAGAAGGCCUUAGGGUUGUAAAGCACUUUCAGCAGUGAAGAAAUGUCGGAGGUUAAUAACUUCCGGCUUUGACGUUAACUGCAGAAGAAGUACCGGCUAACUCCGUG